rnacentral:rRNA from 1 species
AAUGAACGUUGGCGGCGUGGAUUAGGCAUGCAAGUCGUACGGGUCGGUGUAGCAAUACAACGGCAAGUGGCGAAAGGGAGAGUAACACGUAGAUACCUACCCUCUGGUCGGGGAUACCGCGGCAUAACCGCAAGUAAUACCCGAUAAAGUCUCCGGAUCAAAGGUGUGAUUCCGCCGGAGGAGGGGUCUGCGUUCUAUCAGCUUGUUGGUGAGGUAAUGGCUCACCAAGGCUAAGACGGAUACGGGGUGUGAGAGCAUGCCCCCGCUCACUGGGAUUGAGACACUGCCCAGACACCUACGGGUGGCUGCAGUCGAGAAUCUUCGGCAAUGGGCGCAAGCCUGACCGAGCGACGCCGCGUGCGGGAUGAAGGCCUUCGGGUUGUAAACCGCUGUCGAGGGGAAUGAAGUGUAGGUGGGUACUCCCAUCUAUUUGACAGAUCCCUGGAGGAAGCAUGGGCUAAGUUCGUGCCAGCAGCCGCAGUAA